AAGAGCUUCCCCACGGAUCUGAUGCAGCCGUCGGGCCGCUGGUGUUUGGACAGCCACCUCCUGGCGUCGAUAAUGUGCUGGGGAUGCACAAAGAUGUACGGCGUCGCCCCGCCGAAAGACUUCAUCACAAAAGAGACUCCACGCUCCUGAGAGAAUACUGAAGAAGUGAGCCAGUGUCCUCAACACAGCAACAGCCUUGCUGGGGAACUGGACCCCGAGAUCUGCUUUUAACUCUUCCCCAGAACUGAAAGAUUAUUUAGACCGCUGCAUUUACUUAAAUAAAAGAAAAGUAAAUUAA